CAUAGAUAAGCUAAAGUAACGUAACCAGAGAAGUAGAGGUAAUCUACAGCCGCUGCACCCACUUCAUCCGGAUU
rnacentral:tRNA from 1 species